CCAUGACCUAAAGUAGUUCACAGUGGAGAUGGGGCAAUCCACCAAACAUUAUUCGAGCACACAAAGGCAAGCACUUGUCACUAAGCUCAUCAGGCCUGAGAAGAACUUCCAGACCCAUCAACUGGAUCCUGGAUGUGCAGCUGAGCCUCUUUCAAAACUGCUGUCACCAUGGACUCCUGCGCAGACCAAACAUCCCUUUUGUGUGGAAUUUCAAUCCCCACGACAACAGUACUGUCCAGAGACAGACAUCCCAUCAUGAUGGAGCAAACCAAGGCUCAAGAACCAAACUAAAGCCAUCGGUAAUGUAGAGCCAGACGUUAUACUUAAACAACAAAUAUGCUUUCUCUGGAAUUACAGGUGUGGGUCUUCACCUCACACAACCCCUACGGAAUCACAAGAGGAAAAUACCACUAUUUCUCAGUCAGGCGGAGGACUAAGAAUUCAAGGUGAACACCUCUUGCUAAUGGCUCUUUUUAGUGAAACCACUACUGAGAGCUGACGGAACACACACAUUUGGCAAACAGAUGGAGGGAGGGAACGGGCAUCUCCCUUUGUGAAUUCAAUACCAGUUGAUUCAUUAGGCAGAACUGCCAACACAGAAAAUAAAUACAGCCUCUGGUUACAAAAGUAUAACUGCUGCUUACCAAACAACAGAAAUAAAAAAAACAGGCA
rnacentral:lncRNA from 1 species